UGAACGCUGGCGGCAGGCUUAAUACAUGCAAGUUGAACGGUAACAUGUUGUAGCAAUACGAUGAUGACGAGUGGCGCACGGGUGCGUGACACGUGUGUAACCUACCUUAUACAGGAACAUAACGUUGAGAAAUCGGACGCUAACAUUCCAUAAUAUUAUUUGUAGGCAUCUAUGAAUAAUUAAAAACUCCGGUGGUAUAAGAUGGGGCACGCGUUCCAUUAGCUAGUUGGUAAGGUAACGGCUUACCAAGGCAACGAUGGAUAGGGGUUCUGAGAGGAUAAUCCCCCCACACUGGAACUGAGACACGGUCCAGACUCCUACGGGAGGCAGCAGUAAGGAAUAUUGGGCAAUGGAGGCAACUCUGACCCAGCCAUGCCGCCGUGCAGGAAGACGGCCCUAUGGGUUGUAAACUGUCUUUUAAUAGGGAUUAAAGUCGACUACGUGUAGUUGUUUGCAAGUACCUAUAGAAUAAGCAUCGGCUAACUCCGUGCCAGCAGCGGC
rnacentral:rRNA from 1 species